rnacentral:lncRNA from 1 species
UGAAACAAAAAAAAUCUUGAAUUUGAUUGUCAGUGUCUCACAUCGCGUUAGAGUCGCCGUUACGACAAAACUUAAGAAAAAAAAGAGUCGAAUUUAUUUACUUCCAAAUUAACUCAGACGGUGGAUUGCUCCGCCGCCAGACCCCCGCCGGUGAGAAAUUAUCUCCGGCAGACUGAUUCCAGGUUUUUCAUCCUCCAUAAAUCAUCUCAUUAAUUCGGUCUUAGCGAAUUUAUUUGUGUCGCAACUUUUGACCUCUGCGUAGUAAACGAAAUCGAAUCCAACUCCAACGACUUUUCUCCUUUUUUUUUUUUCAAUUUCCCAUUGUUUUUUGCUCUUAAAUUGGACUCGAAACUGUAAGUUUCCACCCGAAAGUCAAGUACUUUGACCACUGCUAAAGCUCGGGCAUUCUACUCUUUGAAGUUUUGUCUGAAAUAUGAGUUUUGUCUUAAGAUUCAAGAUGGGUUUCGUAAUAAAGACACAUGAUUGAUGGAUGCCUGCUUCCGAAAAAGUGAUAACUUCACAGUCUUGUUACAGGAUACUACUUUAUUUUUUGAAUUUGAAAAGGAUAAAUGAAGUCAAGGAGAGACAAAUGAUACAAAAGAAGCUGUUUUGCAUCACGGAGAUGUGAAGCAAGACUGUGCCUGACUCUUUCUGCUAUCUCUUCUAAAAGAUGUGCCA